AAGAAAAUAAAUACAACAUAUUCACAAACGCGUAAACUAAACAUAAUCUUGUUGUUACACCGUUCCGUUUUAUUAAUAUGAAAUCUUAAAGAUAAAUCUCCACCUUAACUAAACUUCUCUGAACCUAGAUUAAUUUAAUAAAGAUAACCUAACAUGGGCUAAACUCUUUCUAAAUCUCUAACUCUCUAAAUUUAGAUUUCAAUUCUAUAAGUUUCUGGACUAACUGUCACAUAUGAAUGUUAUACCAACGAACAAUUAAGCUUUGAUCAGACAAGCAUUAAACCGCGAAACUAUGUUUCACACAAAAUCUGAGAAAACUCUCGAAAAAGUUUCUUUAUGUCUCAACUUUCUUGUUUUUCAAGACGUCUUGAGCUCUUUUUUAUAUAGC
rnacentral:sRNA from 1 species